rnacentral:rRNA from 1 species
AACGAACGCUGGCGGCAGGCCUAACACAUGCAAGUCGAGCGCGCCCUUCGGGGUGAGCGGCGGACGGGUGAGUAACGCGUGGGAACGUGCCCUUUUCUACGGAAUAGCCUCGGGAAACUGAGAGUAAUACCGUAUACGCCCUUUGGGGGAAAGAUUUAUCGGAAAAGGAUCGGCCCGCGUUGGAUUAGGUAGUUGGUGGGGUAAUGGCCUACCAAGCCGACGAUCCAUAGCUGGUUUGAGAGGAUGAUCAGCCACACUGGGACUGAGACACGGCCCAGACUCCUACGGGAGGCAGCAGUGGGGAAUCUUAGACAAUGGGGGCAACCCCGAUCUAGCCAUGCCGCGUGAGUGAUGAAGGCCUUAGGGUUGUAAAGCUCUUUCAGCUGGGAAGAUAAUGACGGUACCAGCAGAAGAAGCCCCGGCUAACUCCGUG